AGAAAACAAAGCAGCACACAUUGUGUGUACUGAGAUUAUUUUAAGAGUUUCUCUUUUUCCCUAGAGUAAACUUACAGCAAGUAACCAUGGCGGCGUUUCUGCUGAAAGUGUUCGGCUUUUUCUCUGCAUCACAGAGAGUCGUUAAGGAGGUCAAGAUGAGCCGUAAUGUAUGUGUGAGCAUCUGUUCAAAAGUUUCGUCCUGCUUUCUUGUACAAAAGAAUUUCUAAGAGCAAAUAUUGAAAAUCAUUAUUAUGUCACUCCUUCUGCACAGUUUUACCAAGAACGUUGCCGGCGCUCAAUUAGAUUUGACAAACAAUAAAACUUCUAAGUUAUAAAGGUCUAUUUAUACCUGCACACUUGUUUACUGCAGUUGCUAAGAGACUUUGCCGGUGAGCUCCUACUUGGUAAUCUUCAUAAUCACUAAGCAACCGCUGAGUUCAACCUACAGAUGCAAAGUUUUUAUAGGAAGUCUGAAAUCUUUGCUCCACAAUGUGUGCACUAGCUAAUACUGCUGUAACACUCUGAUUAGGCCCAUUUCUUCUGCAGGACUGAUCUGAUUGUGGUGGCUCUUUAGACACGUUUAACACACAGCGAGCACUGCCACAUCUUCAUUUUUAACCCAGAUACUGACUGAGUCAGCUGGCUUUAAUAAUUGCUGCAGUGUGAGAAAGGUGCAGAAAAUGGAGCUUUUCACCUUGCAGAAAAUCAAUGUAGAGAGCAAAAGAAGCAAUAUAAUUCAAGUCACAGUGCUUCCAGGUAAAAAACUAUGGUAAACAGUAAUGACUUUGGUUCAUUUGUCAAAGCCUGAGUGAAGGUUGUAGCGAAGAGAUCCUACACAAUGCUGGGUGGGCACACAGGUGUCGCAGCACAGACCAGCUGUUCGUGGCUGUCAGGACAAUGUUUGUCCUUUUCUGACAUGUCACCGUGUCUCCAAACACCUGUUUUCCUGUCAUGGCUGCAUAUUGUUCUGAAGUCAGCUUUGAUCUCAUUAUGAAACAUUAGGCAUCGUUUUCAGCUGCACAAAAGUGCAAAGAGAUAAAAGAAAAAGAAAAAUAUGUCCAUUGACAGCGUCAAACUUCCAAGUCCCUCGUUUUCAGUUCUUUACCGAUGAAGCGCGGACUUCACACCGGACUCCUGCCGUGCAUAAUGCUUAAAUUCAGUGAUUUUGAUUAUACAAAUGUGUCAUUGCCAUAAAAAAAACCCCCUAACAAACAGAAAAGUCAAGUAGACAAAUUGAUUUUCUCUCGUCGUUGUUAGCGUGUAUUUUACUUCUCAUGUGCCUCUUUUACAGGACUGCACAUCUUUGUCAAAUUCAAAUGAGGAAAAUCACAGUUUGUGCCUCUUGAGAACAGAAACAACUAAGUUCAAUUAAUCAGUUAUCUUAAAAAUAUUUUUGAAAUAAACCUGUUUUAAUGGUUUUUUUAAAAAAAAUAAUAAUUUGCUCCAUUUCAAAUAUGCAGUAAAUAUUUAAUUGAAGGAAGUAUGAUCCAGAAUCAUGUGGACUUUUUAAAAAGUUUUGAUACCGUAUAAGUGAACACAGGGUUUUACAUUUAAAUUGUUCUCAGAAUUGAUUGGUUAGAGUCAAGUAGUGACACAUAAUUAAAGCAGUUAAUCACGAUUGUAACUACUUUUUUUUGUUUUUACAAAUACUGCAUGUGCUAUGCACUGCAGAGUACAACUCAUUGUACACAUAUUUAUUUCCGUGCCUCAAAGCAAAAGUCGGUGGCUGUAACUGAAUUCUGUGGCCAUGUUAAAGAAGGAUCCUGCCCUCAAAAGUGUCUGCCUCUUUAAAUAUAUAUAUGUUAGAUCAUUCAAGGAAACGGAGAUCAUGCAGAGGGAGACGGGAACGUCACCGUUUUUGCCCAGCUGCCGUCGGCUGUGCCAUUAAAGUCGCAAUAAAACCUGUUGCUAUGUAAUUUCCACUUUAGUUAAUUCAGCGCCUCUCGGCAAACCAUUUCAGGGCUUUUGCUGCAAAGUGUGCUGAAUUAUCUACCGGUGUCAGCAGAUGAUUGCUGCAUCCUUGGGUUACACAAGCUGAUCAGUGACUACAUUUGGACUCUUUGCUUCUGCUGUCCUGAUAAUGAGAAGUGACGGAAACAUGCAACCGUGAGUGACCCGAUCAGGUGUGGAAGGGAAAGCAGGUGGGAUCAUAAUGACUAAUCACAGGUGAAGUAAAUUAUGCUAAUCAUCUCUUAACAACAGCGCAGGAGAAAUUGCUCGGGAGGAAUAACACAUUUGGUUACAAUUAUUGGGAGAAGCAAAUGCAACGCAAGUCGUAAGAGUCGCAGACAAAAGCUUCUUCAGUAGGAAAGAUUAAGAAAAUGGCAGCAAACAGUUAAAAGUAAGGCUUACGAGGAAAAUGCAGUGACCUGAUCGGGUCACUCAUGGUUGAACGCUGGCUCCUGUGGCGGAGUCGAGCCAGGCCCAAAAAGGAGGAGUUUCAUGAGCUGGUCAAGCAUUGGAGGACAGACAGACUUGUGGGGAAUCCACGUCUCCUGAUCGGAUUUGAUGAGCUCCUGUUGAAAGAACGCACCUGCCGGUCACACCCUGCAAUCAGAAGGUAAAAAGACAGACGAACAUCAACGUGCACGGCCCUGUGGCUAUGACGACAUGCAAAUAAAGGGACUGCGACGGCUGCAGUUUCUAGCAGCUGGUUAUUAGGAAAAUCCAGAGUGUGUCUCUCACAAAACGUGUUUUUAUGUCAAAUACAUCAAUAUUUCAAUAUCCUGUGCCUGUCUACAUGAAUGAUUUCACAGUCUCAGGAUCUUUCAGUCCAUUAUGUUUUUGCUUUUCUUCACUUCUCGGCUUUACUGUUCACUUUAAUUAUUGUUAUUGCUUUUUCCGGGCUCUCCGUACAUCUGUUUCAAAUUAAAUUAAAGCUUUAAAACU